rnacentral:rRNA from 1 species
ACGUAUAGCGUAAGCUGCUUGCAUAGUCUUUAUAGACAAUAUUAAGUUAAUAUAUCUGAUAUGUAUAUUAAGAUAUAGAUAUCUAAUAUCUAUAUCAAUAUAUAUAUAUUGGAUAUAAAUUUAGUUGUGUAAGAUCAACUGUGUUGAAUAAAGUUCUAGUUAGAAUUAUGAUGAUGACGUUUUCUAAUUAUAAGUCUUGACCAAAUCACGUGCCAGCUGUCGCGGUAAAACGUGGAAGACUAGUGUUAUUCAUCUUUAUUUGGUUUAAAGGGUACUUAGACUGUUAAUAAAGCCCUUAGGGUACUAAUUGACUAGAGUUUUAUGUGAGAAGGGGAGUACUAAAGUGUGUAGAGAUGAUAUUCUUUAAUACCUAACUUGGGACUGGUAAAGGCGAAAGCAACCUUUUAUGUAAAAACUGACGUUGAAGAACGAAGGCUUAGGGAACAAAUUGGAUUAGAUACCCCAGUAGUCUAAGCAGUAAACGAUGAAUGUCAUAGAUUAGAAUAAUACUUUGGUCUAUAAAUGAAAGUGUAAGCAUUCCACCUCAAGAGUAAUGUGGCAACACAGGAACUGAAAUCAUUAGACCGUUUCUGAAACCAGUAGUGGAGUAUGUCUUUUAAUUCGAUAGCCCUCAAAAAACCUUACCACAGCCUGAAUAGAUAUUUAUAUAUUUUACGAGUGUUGCACGGCUGUUUUUAGUUAAUGUCGUGAGAUAUUGGUUAGUUCCAUUAAAUUAACGUAAACCCUUACUUUAUUUUUUAGUAUAAAGUAAUUCACCGACACAAUGGCAAUGAUAAAAGGGAAUAAGACAAGUCAUCAUGGCCUUUACGCUGUGGGCUAAUGACGUGCCACAUUUGCCUUUACAAAGGGAAGCG